ACCCCGUCUCUACUAAAAAUACAAAAAAAUUAGCAGGGCAUGGUGGUGGGUGCCUGUAAUCCCAGCUACUCGGGAGGCUGAGGCAGGAGAAUUGCUUGAACAGAGGAGGCGGAGGUUGCAGUGAGCCGAGAUUGUGCCAUUGUACUCCAGCCUGGGCAACAAGAGAGAAGCUCCGUCUCAAAAACAAACAAAGACCAGCUGAGACCUACUGGUAUAAAGUAUACUGCCUGCUCACAUGGUGAGGACUCAAUAUCCUGGUGGCCGGCACAAGAGGCCUGGUUCAUUCCUCUAAAGAGGGUGUCAGCUCAGGACAAUAUGGGCACAGGCCCUGAUCGCUGGGAGUGGGGGUGGUGGCUUCCAGAGACCUGUCUAUAGCAGGGAACAAAGUGGCCCAGGAAUUCCUCCA
rnacentral:lncRNA from 1 species